CCACCUGAUCCCAUUUCGAACUCAGAAGUGAAACGAGUUAACGCCAAUGGUAGUGCAGGGUCUCCCUGUGUGAGAGUAGGAAAUCGUCAGGCUU
rnacentral:rRNA from 1 species